AUGGUCAACAAUAUCUAAGGCUGCAAAAAAAGGGUUCUCUGGCUGUCCCCAUAGGAGAACCAUUUGAAGAACCCCUUUUGGUUCCAGGAAAACAGCUGCAGUGCAGCAAGGCAGUUUGAUGGCACUGGGUCUGACUCCCAUCAUGGUAUUACAGUCACAUGGUAUCACUCUGCACAAAACCAAUAUCAGCAUCAACAGCACUUUGGCUAUACCGUAAACCAUUCUCUCUGCAACUCCUCUGAUUCCUCACGAGGCCAAGACUAACACACACACACUCUACUCUACUCUACUCUGGAGUGGCACAUUUGGAGUGGCUGACCAGCGAGGAGCAGAGAA
ensembl:lncRNA